rnacentral:rRNA from 1 species
GACGAACGCUGGCGGCGUGCUUAACACAUGCAAGUCGAACGGAAAGGGCCUGCUGUUGUCGGGUGCUGGAGUGGCGCACGGGUGAGUAACACGUGAGUAACCUCCCCUUGACAUCGGGAUACCUUCAGGAGACUGGGGCUAAUACACGACAGGAGAUCCUGCAGCAUGGUGGGGGAUGGAAAGUUUCGGCGGUUGGGGAUGCACUCGCGGUCUAUCAGCUUGUUGGCGGGGUGGUGGCUUACCAGGGCUCUGACGGGUAGCCGGACUGAGAGGGUGACCGGCCCCAUUGGGAUUGGGAUGCGACCCGGACUCCAACGGGAGGCAGCGGUGGGGAAUAGUGCACAAUACGCGGAAGGAUGAUGCAACGACGCCGCGUCGGGGAUGUCGGCCUGUAGGUUGGAAAGUGCUUUCGCCUGUGAAGAAGCGUGAGUGACGGUAAUUGGUAAAGAAGCACCGGCUAACUACGUG